rnacentral:rRNA from 1 species
UUACCCACUCCCGGCACGGGGAGGUAGUGACGAAAAAUAACAAUACGGGACUCUUUUGAGACCCCGUAAUUGGAAUGAGUACACUCUAAAUCCUUUAACGAGGAUCUAUUGGAGGGCAAGUCUGGUGCCAGCAGCCGCGGUAAUUCCAGCUCCAAUAGCGUAUAUUAAAGUUGUUGCGGUUAAAAAGCUCGUAGUUGGAUCUCAGUUCCAGACGGGCGGUCCGCCUAACGGUGGUUACUGCCUGGCCUGAACAGCCAGCCGGUUUCCCUAGAUGAUCUUCACCGGUUGUCUUGGGUGACCGGCACGUUUACUUUGAAAAAAUUAGAGUGCUCAAAGCAGGCGUGUAGCCUGAAUAAUGGUGCAUGGAAUAAUGGAAUAGGACUUCGUUUCUAUUUUGUUGGUUUUCGGAACACGAGGUAAUGAUUAAGAGGGACAGACGGGGGCAUUCGUAUUGCGACGCUAGAGGUGAAAUUCUUGGACC